UAUCUUAUCCGUUAGUCAAAUAGAAAUCACGAAAAGAGAAGAAAGAAAAUUUCCCUUUCCACCACGCGCCGCUUCCUUCUUCACCUGCGAGCUUCCCCAAACCCUCUCCAUCCCUUGUUUCUCUUCACUUUCUUGCUCUCUCUUUUCUUCAUCAAUGAAAGAUUGAUUUCGCUACUGGCCUAGGUUAACUCGUGUAACCAUUGCCAUCGCCGACCACCACCACCACGACGGUAACCAUUGACGAUAGCCACCAUCCAUCAUCCUACUCUUUGGACUUCGUUUCCAUCCGAUCCGCCUCAGAUUUGCAUCUCUGUCAUGGUUUGUUCAUCUCAGACGUCGCCAAGGGCUUUUAGCCACCAUUGCUGCUUUUAUCGCAACACCACACCUCCGUCGCUUGCACCGCCACCGUUCUUUGCAUGUAGACGCACAAGAUCAUCGCCGCCGGAGGGUUUCUUAGGAUUGGGGCUUCUUCUUCACACAGCAAAUCAGCUUCAACGAAUGGGAAAGAAAAGAGAAACAAAAGAACUUGCUUUGAGUUUUGGGUUUGGAAGGGGAUUUGAAAAAAAAUAGCCAAAUGAUAGUUUGCUUCUUAGUUUGUUACAUUGUUGGUUUUGAAUAAUAGUCUUUUAAAAGUGUUGAUUACACUAUGCAUAAUAUGCUCAAAUGUGAUUGAGUUGUUGCAGGUUGGGGUUAUGGCUUUUGUCACAGGUUGAGCCCUCAGAGAUAUUUUUGAAAUCUAUAUCGAAUGAAGUCACUAGCGUCGAAGUCAUUUACCCUUCAAGUCUGAAUGCACAAUUGUUCGCCGAAGAUUAGGACAUAUUGCUCUGAGGUUUUAACUUUGCCUAAUAUCACAUUCUUCUGGGUUUCAUUUUGGGCUUAUUCUCAUUGGAGAGCCCUUCAGGAAGAAAGUCCAAGAUGCUGGUUAGUAUCUUGCUAAGAUAAGACACAUUACUGAAAAGAAAUUGCAGGUGAUCUAAUGAACAUAAACAAACACUGCAAGGAUAUGUAGGUUUAAUAUAGCUACAUUAUGAAAAGCUACAUAAUGCCAUUAGCAAACUUAAGCAGCAAUUCCCUUCAGCAAUGUUUAAGCUUUCCAGAUGAAAUUGCAGGGACAAAGCCAGAGUUCCGAUGGCAACUUUGUGCUCGAGUUGGACUUUGAGCCUUUUAACACAUCCUUUUCCCGCCCAACACUUAACAAGUCAAUUGGGAAUGGCGUUGAGUUCUUUAAUGGCCACCUUUCCGCUAAGCUUUUCCAUGGCAAGGAGAGCAUACAGCCAUUGCUGAAGUUCCUAAGGCUUCAUAGUUACAAUGGAAAGGUGGGACAAUAAUCUGUAACUACCUCUGAAGACAUUCUUUGGAAGGAUCCCUAUGGUCUUCAAUGUGGUGAUCCUUUCUCCCCGUGGUUACUUUGCUCAAGACAAUGUCUUGGGAUACCCUAAUACUGGUGGCCAGGUUUUUUACAUCUUGGAUCAAGUUCGUACAUUGGAGAAUGAGAUGCUCAACCGUAUCAACAAACAAGGCUUGGACAUCACCCCUCGCAUUCUCAUUGUAUCUCCCUAUUCCAGAUGUAAAUAUUUAGCUGACUUGUAUAUAGUGAAUCGAUUUUCACUAACUUGAGCCUGUGAUUGCUUUUAAAAUCGAUUUUCACCCCGUGAUUUUCACUAAUAUUUAACCUAUCAUUGGGAUUGGUUUAUAGCCUAACUUAAUGUAACAUAGUUAUAGACUUGUAGCAUUUUUUAUUAUUUAGAUUUGUAACAUAAUUUAUUACUUUUCAAGAGAAAUUUGUGUAUUAAUAUUUUGAGUUUAAUAAAAUAUCCAUUUUGUAGUAA